GACACUUUUGCAUCAACUGUGACUGUCAAAAGCAGCCCAUCAGUUCUUAGAAGAAACAGACCACCAUUGGAUAUUUGUGUCAGCUCUCCUGUUAGAACAGUCAAUGCGUAAACAGAAAAAAUAAACUCAAUCGAUUCGUAGCGUAAAUUGGGGAAAGCGCACAAGACGGCAACUAACACUGCGAAAAAGAGGAAGAGAGGAACAGCUGUAGGCUAAAAACUUGGACGACUUUCAGUACGGGCUGUUCCCACUCGUUGCAAAAUUUAGGUAGGAAACAAUACAGCGCGCCAUCAUAGCACCGUUAUUGGCGCAGACCACAGAUAACACAGACUGCAUGACGUCAUUUUACUGAAACCAACUAGAUGUUGGUUUCAGUGAAAUGAAGUCAUGCAGUCUGUGCUUUCUAUUACGCAUUUAUAAUGCACAAUUUAUGACAUUUUUAUUAUAGAUAAAAUGUUAUGCUCUUUAUGAGAAGCAGAAGUAAUUACAUCUACAUAUGCCCAGAUAAGUCUUGUUUUGUAUCCUGCAGAGUGCAUAAACUGACGAAGAUCUCAGUUGUGAAUAUGAACUACUUUAAAAUACUUGUAGAGAAAUUUCCAUGGGUCGAAAGUUAGAUUCUAUGUUGUUCCUUGGAUGUAAAACUCGAUGAAAACUAACGUUCUAAAAUAACAGACUACAGGAAUUCUCUAACAUAUUUUCUAGUAUAUUAUGUCCAUUGUUUUGGUAUCUGUACAGGAUUAAGCAAAAGCCAUAAAAUAUAAACGCUUAUUAUUGAAAAA